UACGUAGGGGGCAAGCGUUGUCCGGAUUUAUUGGGCGUAAAGAGCGUGUAGGCGGCCAGACAGGUCCGUUGUGAAAACUCGAGGCUCAACCUCGGGACGUCGAUGGAAACCGUCUGGCUAGAGUCCGGAAGAGGAGAGUGGAAUUCCUGGUGUAGCGGUGAAAUGCGCAGAUAUCAGGAAGAACACCUAUGGCGAAGGCAGCUCGCUGGGACGUUACUGACGCUGAGACGCGAAAGCGUGGGGAGCAAACAGG
rnacentral:rRNA from 1 species